UUCCUCACUGUCUCUUCAAACAUGUACCAUAUAGCUGUGCUCUGUGCAUGUGUGUGAGGCGUGCUUGUGUGUGUGGAGGAAGAGGGGGUAAAAUACCAAGUAUAUCACAAAUGUGUUUCAUGCAUACUAAGAAGCGGGCCUCUCAAUGCAGAGCACUUUGAUGAAGUUUCAGCCUCUGUCAUAAUGUGUAUCUGGACAAAUCAGACAUCCUCUUUCUCUGCUUCCUAACCACCGUCAGUGUGGUAAUUACUGUCUGUAAGGGGAGGAUCUGUUUAUGUAAAUAUGCAGCUUUGACAGAGAGGUUUCAUCUCAUGUGACUGCAUUCUUCCUCUGCAUACAACUUUGGUCACUAGUUUCUCUGUUUUUCUGGGUAUUUUUGUGUCAGUCUGGAUCUCUCUCUUUACAUCCAUCAGAGAGUGAGUGGUCUCUCAAAAAAGACAGAACAAAGUGAGAAGUAGUUAAGUCUGCCUUUGAUGACUGCUAUAGACUCUGUUGGAGGAAUGCAGAUGACUACUAUGGGUAGACAAAUUGCCCCCAUAUUAUUUUUUCAGUGACAUAAAAUCUAAAUCAGUUCUACUAAAUAACCAUUAUGGGAUACAUACAAACACUCACACAGACAAAACAAUACAAAUGUCACACAGUGUGCAAAACAAGAGCAGGAUGGGAGUGAGGGAGAACAGAAAGCUGGAGGAAUGGCGGCCAAUAAAGGAGGGAGUGAGAGAGGAAGGAAGACAGGAAGGUACGCUAAAGGUUUUUCAAUGUUUAAUUUUCAAAUAGGAUUAAGCAGAAUGACAUUUAGCUGAAGGUUACAGGCUCAGCAUUGUCUUAGCUGAUAUUGAUAUGCAGGAGGCGCCCUGCUUGUCACCGGGACAAACACCAUUGAUGAAUGAGAAGCCUUUCCCCAGGAAGGUGUUAAGUGAAAAUUUGAAAUGAGAGAGCGGUAGAGGUAGAGAAAAGGGGGGGGGGGGGGCAGCACACACAGACAGAGAUUGAAUUACAACAAUAGUUGCUAUGUAUACUGUCACUAGAUAAUGUUGCCAAAAGUGUAAAUUGUUCCGUAAAGUAUAGGUUGCAUAUUCGUUGAGAUUGGUUGAUCUUGUGCUGAAAAUGAGGCGAAAAAUACACAAGGUGCUUUGCUGUAUGUAUCUAAUUUCAACAACUACAAAUCAACAAUGCCUCUUAGAAAUGCAUAAGUAGGCUAAAGUUGACAAUAACUUCACUGUAUCCUCAUUUCGGCAAGUUUUCCUCCGGAAUUUACAUCUUAAUAAGGGAGUCUUACCCUUUAAUUCUUAUGGGCUCUGCUCAUUUCUCAUGCAUUAAUACUGGAGCUGCUGACUUGGCUCUUCCUCUGAAUACAGAAUAGGACACACAUAUUAAGACUCAUAUAUUUACAGGAUUGAUGCCACAGGAGAUUGUCUCAGAGUGAGAUGAAAAGGCUGGCUCAGAUGUAUUUCAACGUGAACAUCAAUGUAAGCUGUCCUAAUCAUGGGACGAUGCAGGCACAGGACAGAGAGCAUCUAUCCUGAUUUUCAGCUGAUAAUGAGUAGUGAUGUUUGACAAAUUAAGAGCAUAAACCCUACUCAGAGAUCAUCCGGCAAUCAACUUACUUACUUACUAAAUCUUACUCAAAACACGCCACAGAUGAAACUUUGAUGUUCAACUUCAGCAGCUCCCACAGACAGAGAAUAACAAAAAGGAGAUGUAAACUCUGAUAAAGAAGAAAAUGUCAACAUGGAGAGGGGAAAAGAAAGAAAGACAGAAAAAAAGAACAGCAACAAAAUAAAACAGGCAGAGGUACAAGUAUAGACUAUGUGAAAGAAAGUGAGCAGAAAGACAAAGUGCUUAAAAGAUCAUGAGAGACAGAGAGACAGUGGCCAGUGGUUUCUUCUGCAGCUGUCAGUGGGCUGAGUGGUUUCUCUCAGAGUGUUGGGUGUUUGUGCUGCGCUGGGUGCCCUGCCUGCUCUGCCACUGGGACCGCUGUUUGUUUAAAAGGCUCGCCUGUCAAACAGAGAGCGCCACCGACAGCCAGACACUCAGCUAAAUGACUCUGACAGCAGCCCUAAUCAGAGGCUUUGCACAUUGCCGCAGGGCCUGGAGGAUCCAUCAUAACCCAAGCCUAAAUAUUUAAAGUGCUAAACUUUUCAAAGGUCAGGCCUUUCCAUGCAUGCCAGGGCGACAUGUGUCGGAGAAGUAGGAAGAGAGGGACUGAACAAGAGAGAGAGAUAGAGAGAGACUAUGGUUAAAUGUCCUCUAUCAUUUUCACCCUUGUGAGAACCACUUUCAGUUUUAGACCUUCAGAGUCAGGUUACUUUUAGUGAAUGGACAUCGUUUUGACUGCUGAUCACGUCUUCAACCAUCUCAUUUGGGGUUAGACCCUGGGAUUAGAGUAAAAGAUGAAUUAGACAAGAUUUUUUGUAAAAAAUAAACCCUUCUCAGCAAUUCACAUCACAAAACACUCAGAUUCACCCUAUGUCUCUGGGGAAAAAAAGAUGAGCAUUGAUGCAUCAAAACUUGUGAGUUAUAAAAAAACUAGCUUCUAGACAGCCCUAGACUGAGCUGUCUUCCCACAGAAAGCUGGACUCACUGCGAAGGAUGAACCUUUUCAACCUGAUCAGAAUAAGUUUUAAAAAUUCAAACAGCUAUUUCUUGCUGAUGUCAGAGUUCAGAGUUUAAGGUCAGGCAUUUAAAGGUGAUUAGUAAAGGUGGGCUCUGUGGAUGAAUGUAAUUGGUGGAAGGAUGUACAUUCUGUAAAGGAUGUCUGUGUGUGUCUUCUUCAGACCUCGUGUAGCCAUGGUAAAUCCAUACUAUCUCUUUUCACACUUGGUCUUUGGUGUUGCAGUUCCAAAGACAGCAAUUCAGUGCAUGGGAAUAAAUCACUACAGGGGAGAACACAGAGUACUUCUAAGAGGUAACAGAAAAAGUUUGGGGCUUUUGUUCAUGAGAUGUUAUUAGUUUUAAAUGAAGCAGAUUAGUUGUUCAGCAAGCAAAGUCAAAAUCUGUGAUACAAAUCUGUCCAAAUUUGAUCUCAAUCUAUAGUGUUCCUUGAAAUAAAGCGAGGGGAAAAAGAAAACUCUGGUGAGCAGAGAGAGACAGACAGCAGUUAUAUGACAAACUAAAAGAAAAACGAGAAGCCAUAUAAAAAAAGGAAACAACAAAGAUAAGUUAUUAGUUGGGAAAGGAUAUGGUACAUUAGAAUCUAGUUCAGUUGGUGUAACUGACAAGUUCACAAUACAGGGCCAGGGGGUCAUCUCUUCGACUCAAUUUCCAUUGAGAAGCAAACAUCCAAUUCAAUUUAGAUAUGUGCCUGUGCUAGGCUAUGAGCCAGAGGGAGAUUGUAACUGACAGCCAUUGGACAGCCAGCUGGAUUUGAAUAUUGACGAGACAGAGACUUGACAGAAGGGAUUAUGCUCUACCUUCUGACUUACUAGCCGCUACACUGAUCCAUUCUAUUGUCAGAUCAACUCAGUGUCAGGUCUACAGUAUGUCCGUGCGGUGCGGUGAUGCCACUCAGUAUUAGACCCUACCUGAGAACCAUCUCAAUUCAAACUGAUGUCCACUCAGAAGCUACAAGAAACACGCUUAAUCAACCAGGACAAAAGUAUGCAAUAUCAAAGCAAAUCUAUUGCAAAGUAUACACUGAUCCAGUAGCUUUUCUCUAUUGCUGCUGUGUUCAAUAUAGACAAAAUUAACUUUGCAACUGCUAACCUUAAACCUCUCUAAUUUAACAAACUCAAAACUAGCCCUUUACAGAGGCUGAUUCUUUGUGAUGACAUUUUGACUUCAUACAUCGAAAUACAAUAACACACACAUGCACAUGCAUACCUGUAGGCACACACACAUGCAUGCACAAACAUUUGCAUUGUCAUUUUGGAGUCCUGAUGUAUUGCAUUUGAAUGAAGCUACACUUUUGUUCUGUUUGUGUGUGCGUGUGAACGUGUGGGUCAAAUCCACAGUCUCAUCCAUGUCCAACCAGCCUCGUCUCCCACCCAGCACGCACCCUCCCUUCUCGAGGGGCCGUUGAGAGCAGGCAAGUCAUAGAAUGCCUGAUCAAAGGGCCUUGGACAGAUCUGUGAAGGCCCUUUGAAAGGACAUCCACAGUUACACAAGUUGACACGCUUGUACGUGCUUUGGCGCAGACACACACACACUCAGGCUCAGAGGCAUACGUACACACACACACACACACAUGCAUAGAGAGAGAUACAAACACAAAACUGCAAACACACUAUGGUUUUAAACUCUAAAUCCAAGCAAUGAUAAGUCCAGCACAUCAGACGGUACAAAGGGCCUUUUCCUCAAAUACACCACACACACAGAUGCAUACACACACCCUAAUGCUGAGGAGUCCAAAGACAGAGAGAGAUUGAGGGAGAGAGAGAGAGGACUGGAAAUAUAAGGUCAUAUUUGGCAACUGCAGUGCUAAGUCGAAACUCAAUGUAGGCUAAUGCUAACAUUAGCUAAUAUUAGCUAACCCUGCUGGUAGGCGGAUUGAAUUACCUUUGGACACAGCCAGGCUAGCUGUUUCCCCCUGUUUCCAGUCUUUGUGCUAAGCUCAGCUCAUCGGCUUUUGGCUCCAGCUUCAUAUUGAAUGUACAGAUGUGAGAGUGGUAUUGAUAUUUCCCAAAAUGUCAAACUAUUAAAAACAUUAUUUAGACUGCUCUUGUGGGUUACUGUUUAAAUAUAAAUGCAUCCAUCAUAGGAAAGUGACAUUUAUGCUAGUUGCUCUGCUGCUGUGUUUUGCCUCCACCAUCCAGAGGCAUUAUUUUGUGUAGCGCGGUGAUAAUGGUGGUGGUGUUACAGACGUGACAGUUUGUCUGUAUUCAAGUGUUUCCAGCCAUUAUUCCCGUGCCCUGUGUCUCCUGUCUCUCCCUUGUCUGUCUGUCUGUGUGUGUGUGUGUGUGUGUGUGUGUGUGUGUGUGUGUGUGUGUGUGUGUGUGUGUGUGUGUGUGUGUCUCCAUGGGCGUGGCUGCUCCUCCCGCCUCCCUCCACUGGCUCUCGGCUCCAGUGCUGCCACUCACCUGACGAUCAUCUUCCAAUCACUCCGCUCAGCCAACACACCUGCCUCCCAUCAGAUCAUCUACUGCAGUAUAUCUACCCCGGCUCGUCAUCCACUCAUUGACAGAUUGUUUCAACCUCUGUGGAUCACUGCUCACCUGCCUGCCAUCUGUUUGCUUCUGCCUGCUUGCCAGCCAUGAUUUCUUCAGCCACACCAUCUCCACAUCAGCCACACUUCCCACAGCCAUGCCAUCUCCACUGCCAUUAACUCCACUUCCUGAUUGCCUGAUCUGGACUCCCCUACCCCAGCUUUUCCACAAUACCCAUUCCCCUUUAUUCAAUAAACCCUUUUUUCAUUUUA